AGGCUUCCAGAAGGAUCUGAUGAUAACCCACCUCCAGGGCUACAUGGGGCAUCGGCAUCACCAGGGAGGGCUGCAAGCCGUUGAACUGAAGACAAGCCCAUGUCCACUCUAGAGGAGCCUGUGAAGUGCGAUUACCUGGCCUGUCACCUUUCCACCCUCUCAGGGGCCUUCUCUGACAGCCUUGGAUCUCCUCCAACCCAACAGCAGAAGAAGGCAAUGCAGCUCUCUUCAUAUUAAAAGGAUCAGUGGUCAGGGCCUCGCCAAGACCUGCCCUGCCCUCCUGGUUCCCAGACACAUGGGAAACAACAAGGACAUAGCUCCUCAGUCCAGGUGACUAGCAGCAGAUGGCAUAGUACAGGAAGAUUAAAGGCUUUAGCAUUUACUUGUGUGGAUUUCAUCAUUAGUGACGAAGAGAGAUAUUCAUCUGCACACUUCAUUGGAAUAUAAAGAACAUAAUCCUAUAACCACGGGGCCGAUAAUAAAUAGCGCCAAUCACGUGCUACUCCAUCAGUGGCCUUGGUUAAAAUACUACCAAAAUGCCUGUCUCAGGUUGUCUCCAUUCUUUAUAUCCUCUUAUUAAUAUAUUCCAACAUGGGGGCUCACAUUCUAAUAUCUAGAACCUGAUCAAGGCUGGUGGGGACCCUACGUAGUCCUGCUGAUGUCCACAGGAUCAGACAAUAAUCUAUAUGUAUGGAGCAUCUGAAGUUGGGUAGAAAAUAUUCUCAUAUUGGAUUGUUAUAUGCCUGAUAUUUUAUCAACCAAAAAUUGCUAGAUGUAUCUCCCAAACCUUCUGAUUUCUUCUUGAUAGCGGUGACCUGCUAGGUGGUAGAAGCCUCAUACCAAUUGCCCCUUUUGCCCGAUAAUCCUUCAUAGAAAACAGAUUUGCCAGUGAUGACUUGGAGGCUGUGAGGACCCAAACCAUAGAAACUCUUCAGAGAUGAUGCCCUAGUUGGAUUCAUGACCCCAGAGCUGGAAGAGAAUGUUAGCUAACCACUGAGCCCCCCCUAUGUAGAUAAUAGGAUAAGUAAAUCUAACAUAUAAAUUGAUGAUCAAGCCCUUCGCCUCCUGCACCUGUUCUGUAGGACCCUCUACUCCCGCACAACCCAAGAAAAACCCUAGACGGAGGAAUUCAGAAGCCGACUCAAAACACAUCUGUUCACUCAGGCAUUUGGCAGCAAUUAAUUUCAUUUCAUCGUAUUGACUGAAUCUUUAACUCAACAAUUUAUUCAGUGGAUUUGCUUGAAAAGCUCUUUGAAUCCCGAGGGAGAAAAGUGCUGCCUAAGUAUUAUUAUUAUCUAAUACCAAAAAGCAAUCUGCGCUGAGUCUCUGCGCGCGACAAGUCAUUUUAUGUUUUUUUUUCAUUGCUGGCUGACUGCAAAUACUUG